rnacentral:rRNA from 1 species
AUUGAACGCUGGCGGCAUGCCUUACACAUGCAAGUCGAACGGUAACAGGUCUUCGGAUGCUGACGAGAGGCGAACGGGUGAGUAAUACAUCGGAACGUGCCCAGACGUGGGGGAUAACGAGGCGAAAGCUUUGCUAAUACCGCAUACGAUCUAAGGAUGAAAGCAGGGGACCGCAAGGCCUUGCGCGUUUGGAGCGGCCGAUGGCAGAUUAGGUAGUUGGUGGGAUAAAAGCUUACCAAGCCGACGAUCUGUAGCUGGUCUGAGAGGACGACCAGCCACACUGGGACUGAGACACGGCCCAGACUCCUACGGGAGGCAGCAGUGGGGAAUUUUGGACAAUGGGCGAAAGCCUGAUCCAGCAAUGCCGCGUGCAGGAUGAAGGCCUUCGGGUUGUAAACUGCUUUUGUACGGAACGAAAAGGCUCUGGCUAAUACCUGGGGCACAUGACGGUACCGUAAGAAUAAGCACCGGCUAACUACGUG